rnacentral:rRNA from 1 species
GACGAACGCUGGCGGCGUGCCUAAUACAUGCAAGUCGAACGCACUCUCGUUUAGAUUGAAGGAGCUUGCUCCUGAUUGAUAAACAUUUGAGUGAGUGGCGGACGGGUGAGUAACACGUGGGUAACCUGCCCUAAAGUGGGGGAUAACAUUUGGAAACAGAUGCUAAUACCGCAUAAAACCUAAACACCGCAUGGUGUAGGGUUGAAAGAUGGUUUCGGCUAUCACUUUAGGAUGGACCCGCGGUGCAUUAGUUAGUUGGUGAGGUAAAGGCUCACCAAGACCGUGAUGCAUAGCCGACCUGAGAGGGUAAUCGGCCACACUGGGACUGAGACACGGCCCAGACUCCUACGGGAGGCAGCAGUAGGGAAUCUUCCACAAUGGACGAAAGUCUGAUGGAGCAACGCCGCGUGAGUGAAGAAGGUUUUCGGAUCGUAAAACUCUGUUGUUGGAGAAGAAUGUAUCUGAUAGUAACUGAUCAGGUAGUGACGGUAAUCCAACCAGAAAGCCACGG